GGGUUGUGAGGUUAAGCGACUAAGCGUACACGGUGGAUGCCCUGGCAGUCAGAGGCGAUGAAGGGCGUGCUAAUCUGCGAUAAGCGCCGGUAAGGUGAUAUGAACCGUUAUAACCGGCGAUACCCGAAUGGGGAAACCCAGUGUGAUUCGUCACACUAUCAUUAACUGAAUCCAUAGGUUAAUGAGGCGAACCGGGGGAACUGAAACAUCUAAGUACCCCGAGGAAAAGAAAUCAACCGAGAUUCCCCCAGUAGCGGCGAGCGAACGGGGAGGAGCCCAGAGCCUGAAUCAGCAUGUGUGUUAGUGGAAGCGUCUGGAAAGGCGCGCGAUACAGGGUGACAGCCCCGUACACAAAAGCGUAUGUGCUGUGAGCUCGAUGAGUAGGGCGGGACACGUGGUAUCCUGUCUGAAUAUGGGGGGACCAUCCUCCAAGGCUAAAUACUCCUGACUGACCGAUAGUGAACCAGUACCGUGAGGGAAAGGCGAAAAGAACCCCGGCGAGGGGAGUGAAAAAGAACCUGAAACCGUGUACGUACAAGCAGUGGGAGCACCCUUUGGGGUGUGACUGCGUACCUUUUGUAUAAUGGGUCAGCGACUUAUAUUCUGUAGCAAGGUUAACCGAAUAGGGGAGCCGGAGGGAAACCGAGUCUUAAUUGGGCGUUAAGUUGCAGGGUAUAGACCCGAAACCCGGUGAUCUAGCCAUGGGCAGGUUGAAGGUUGGGUAACACUAACUGGAGGACCGAACCGACUAAUGUUGAAAAAUUAGCGGAUGACCUGUGGCUGGGGGUGAAAGGCCAAUCAAACCGGGAGAUAGCUGGUUCUCCCCGAAAGCUAUUUAGGUAGCGCCUCGUGAAUUCAUCUCCGGGGGUAGAGCACUGUUUCGGCUAGGGGGUCAUCCCGACUUACCAACCCGAUGCAAACUGCGAAUACCGGAGAAUGUUAUCACGGGAGACACACGGCGGGUGCUAACGUCCGUCGUGAAGAGGGAAACAACCCAGACCGCCAGCUAAGGUCCCAAAGUCAUGGUUAAGUGGGAAACGAUGUGGGAAGGCACAGACAGCCAGGAUGUUGGCUUAGAAGCAGCCAUCAUUUAAAGAAAGCGUAAUAGCUCACUGGUCGAGUCGGCCUGCGCGGAAGAUGUAACGGGGCUAAACCAUGCACCGAAGCUGCGGCAGCGACACUCAGG
rnacentral:rRNA from 1 species